rnacentral:lncRNA from 1 species
CUUCUCCCUGAGGCUCAGCUUUAAAACCUGCGGAGGUUUGGGUUGUUCACCUCUGCAGAAAGGAUCUGAGGGAAGGAGCCUAUCCCAAGUUGGGUUAGCGCAGCAGCAAGCCCAGGACUGGCCUGGCCUGCCCGUGCCUGGUGGGACAGGAAGGAGCCAGCUGUCCAUCCUGGGAUCUGGAUGCACCUGGGCAAGGCUCACCUUGGGACAGUGGCGGCAUAGCACAGUGGCUGAGAACAUGAAUUCUGGCCUCCCUGGGCCCAGAGCCUGACUCCACCACUUACCAGCUGGAUGAUGGGGGUCCCAGCACAGGGCCUGGCCACAGUGGGUCCUCACUGACUGUUUGUGGAGUGAUGAUGGGGUCCGGGUGCCCUCUCCCCUGGCCUGCUGUCUCCCGCGGGCCCCUGCAGAGCAAUGCUGUCUCCGUGGCUGAGGCCCUUCCUCCCACAGCCCCGCCUGAGCUCCUUCAAUUUUCCCUGGCAGCUCCCACGUUCUGGACUAACUUUAGGGUUGGUUUCCAGCUGUGGUUGGAUUUUUCUGUUUGAAAAAUAUUUUAAGCAGCUGGUGGGGAAGGGGUGGAGAGGUGGGAAAAGAAUAAUAAAUAAGCUUGUGAAAGGAAGAUUGUCUAAAUGGCUUGGAGCCACCACUGCCUGCAACUUGGUCUCUGGGUCGUGCCCAGGACUGGGGAGCUAUCAGGUGGUUGGGGGUGGGGAGGGGGCACCCUGGUGGCUUCACAGGCUGAGGAGAAAGACUCACCGCCCCUCACAAGCACCUCUUGGACAUGCUUUCACUUUAUGCCCCGCAUGAAUUCUGAAAAUGCAAGAAAUAGACGGGAAAGAGUGGUUCUGCAGCAGCCAGGAUUGAGGUUAGACACUGAAAAAAACUGACUGUCAGAACUAUCCCUGAAGCCCCCCUUUAUUUCACCCAAGACUGAUGUUUCUCCAGAACUCAGCUUCCUUC